CAUCGGUCCAAUCCUUAAAGUCAUCCUCAGUUCGGACUGGGGUCUGCAACCCGACCCCACGAAGCUGGAUUCGCUAGUAAUCGCGCAUCAGCCAUGGCGCGGUGAAUACGUUCCCGGGCCUUGUACACACCGCCCGUCAAGCCAUGGGAGCCGGGGGGCGCCUGAAGUCCGGGACCGCGAGGACCGGCCUAGGGCGAAACUGGUAACUGGGGCUAAGUCGUAACAAGGUAGC
rnacentral:rRNA from 1 species